GUGGGGAAUUUUGGACAAUGGGCGAAAGCCUGAUCCAGCCAUGCCGCGUGCGGGAUGAAGGCCUUCGGGUUGUAAACUGCUUUUGUACGGAACGAAAAGACUCUGGUUAAUACCUGGGGUCCAUGACGGUACCGUAAGAAUAAGCACCGGCUAACUACGUGCCAGCAGCCGCGGUAAUACGUAGGGUGCGAGCGUUAAUCGGAAUUACUGGGCGUAAAGCGUGCGCAGGCGGUUAUGUAAGACAGAUGUGAAAUCCCCGGGCUCAACCUGGGAACUGCAUUUGUGACUGCAUAGCUAGAGUACGGCAGAGGGGGAUGGAAUUCCGCGUGUAGCAGUGAAAUGCGUAGAUAUGCGGAGGAACACCGAUGGCGAAGGCAAUCCCCUGGGCCUGUACUGACGCUCAUGCACGAAAGCGUGGGGAGCAAACAGGAUUAGAAACCCCAGUAGUCC
rnacentral:rRNA from 1 species